rnacentral:rRNA from 1 species
CCUACGGGUGGCAGCAGUCGAGAAUCAUUCACAAUGGGGGAAACCCUGAUGGUGCGACGCCGCGUGGGGGAAUGAAGGUCUUCGGAUUGUAAACCCCUGUCAUGUGUGAGCAAAUUAAAAAGAUAGUACCACAAGAGGAAGAGACGGCUAACUCUGUGCCAGCAGCCGCGGUAAUACAGAGGUCUCAAGCGUUGUUCGGAAUCACUGGGCGUAAAGCGUGCGUAGGCUGUUUCGUAAGUCGUGUGUGAAAGGCGCGGGCUCAACCCGCGGACGGCACAUGAUACUGCGAGACGAGAGGAAUGGAGGGGGAACCGGAAUUCUCGGUGUAGCAGUGAAAUGCGUAGAUAUCGAGAGGAACACUCGUGGCGAAGGCGGGUUCCUGGACAUUAACUGACGCUGAGGCACGAAGGCCAGGGGAGCGAAAGGGAUUAGAUACCCCUGUAGUC